CCUACGGGGGCUGCAGUGGGGAAUAUUGGACAAUGGGCGAAAGCCUGAUCCAGCCAUGCCGCGUGUGUGGAGAAGGCCUUCGGGUUGUAAAGCACUUUCAGUGGGGAAGAAAGCCUUGGGGCUAAUACCCUCGAGGAAGGACAUCACCCACAGAAGAAGCACCGGCUAACUCCGUGCCAGCAGCCGCGGUAAUACGGAGGGUGCGAGCGUUAAUCGGAAUUACUGGGCGUAAAGCGCGCGUAGGCGGUCUGAUAAGCCGGUUGUGAAAGCCCCGGGCUCAACCUGGGAACGGCAUCCGGAACUGUCAGGCUAGAGUGCAGGAGAGGAAGGUAGAAUUCCCGGUGUAGCGGUGAAAUGCGUAGAGAUCGGGAGGAAUACCAGUGGCGAAGGCGGCCUUCUGGACUGACACUGACGCUGAGGUGCGAAAGCGUGGGUAGCAAACAGGAUUAGAUACCCGAGUAGUC
rnacentral:rRNA from 1 species